AAACAAAAGAGAGUUCUCGCCAGUGACUUCGGCGCAACAGGACACAAACCUGAAUUGCUUUAGAUUGGAAACGUGAGGCUUUGAAGGAAGGAAAGACAUUCGUGAAUUAGCUUGCUUGGAUUCGAUUCUUCGAUUGAGCGAGUGUUCCACAGACUUCGACUCGACCUCAGCUCUAGUCCGUCUCAAGUUCAUUGGAUUUAAGGGUGAGCAAUCCUUCUAGCUCGUGAUGGAUUCUUUAGUCAUGACAUGAUGUCCUUAGUGUUCGGACACGAACUAUGUCACUUAUUUUAUUUUAGUGUUUGACAUUCUAGACUUAGUAUUUUAGAAUUAUAUGUCCUUGAUGUGAUGACUUUCAGAUUUUAGGGAACGUUAUGUAGUAAACUCUUGUCGAUUGUUAUUUCUUACUUUAUAAGUUUGAGCUUCCGCGUUAUUAUUAUACUUUAUAAGUUGGGGUUCACAUCGUUGGU